AGCUUUGCACAGUGGCAGUAUCGUAGUCAAUGAGUUUUAUCUAAGGCAUGAUUACGGCUAAUUUAAAAGUUAGUGCAAAUGGUUAUGGUUAUGCAAGUAGAAAAGCUCACAAUUUUAAAAAGGUGAAAUCUU
rnacentral:snRNA from 1 species